rnacentral:rRNA from 1 species
AUUGAACGCUGGCGGCAGGCUUAACACAUGCAAGUCGAGCGGGGGAGGUUGCUUCGGUAACUGACCUAGCGGCGGACGGGUGAGUAAUGCUUAGGAAUCUGCCUAUUAGUGGGGGACAACGUUCCGAAAGGAACGCUAAUACCGCAUACGCCCUACGGGGGAAAGCAGGGGAUCUUCGGACCUUGCGCUAAUAGAUGAGCCUAAGUCGGAUUAGCUAGUUGGUGGGGUAAAGGCCUACCAAGGCGACGAUCUGUAGCGGGUCUGAGAGGAUGAUCCGCCACACUGGGACUGAGAAACGGCCCAGACUCCUACGGGAGGCAGCAGUGGGGAAUAUUGGACAAUGGGCGGAAGCCUGAUCCAGCCAUGCCGCGUGUGUGAAGAAGGCCUUUUGGUUGUAAAGCACUUUAAGCGAGGAGGAGGCUCCUUUAGUUAAUACCUAAAGAGAGUGGACGUUACUCGCAGAAUAAGCACCGGCUAACUCUGUGCCAGCAGCCGCCGUAACAC